GUCGUUCGAGCGAAUCCUCCUCGUUCUGGGUCGAAGAAGCUCACAGCACCAAUUUCGUAGACCCGUGGCUUCGAUUAUUAUUAAGGAAACACAGAAUAAGGUGAUACGCAGAGAUAAAGACACACUUUUAACGAGGCUUUCGAACUUCUUGCAAAACUUUCAAUAGCAGAGAUGAUACACGGUGUCUAUCGUAGAACUUCAGCGAUUGGAGAGAGAGUAUCCACUCGUGAGAAAAAUUGGGAAUGGAAAUAAGAAAAAUGACAAGAAUUCUCAC
rnacentral:misc_RNA from 1 species